rnacentral:rRNA from 1 species
CACCAUGCAGUCGAGCGAGAUCUUCGGAUCUAGCGGCGGACGGGUGAGUAACGCGUGGGAACGUACCCUCUUCUGCGGGAUAGCCACUGGAAACGGUGAGUAAUACCGCAUACGCCCUUCGGGGGAAAGAUUUAUCGGAGGAGGAUCGGCCCGCGUUGGAUUAGGUAGUUGGUGGGGUAAUGGCCUACCAAGCCUACGAUCCAUAGCUGGUUUUAGAGGAUGAUCAGCCACACUGGGACUGAGACACGGCCCAGACUCCUACGGGAGGCAGCAGUGGGGAAUCUUAGACAAUGGGCGCAAGCCUGAUCUAGCCAUGCCGCGUGAGUGACGAAGGCCUUAGGGUCGUAAAGCUCUUUCGCCUGUGAUGAUAAUGACAGUAGCAGGUAAAGAAACCCCGGCUAACUCCGUGCCAGCAGCCGCGGUAAUACGGAGGGGGUUAGCGUUGUUCGGAAUUACUGGGCGUAAAGCGCACGUAGGCGGAUUGGAAAGUAUGGGGUGAAAUCCCAGGGCUCAACCCUGGAACGGCCUCAUAAACUUCCAGUCUGGAGUUCGAGAGAGGUGAGUGGAAUUCCGAGUGUAGAGGUGAAAUUCGUAGAUAUUCGGAGGAACACCAGUGGCGAAGGCGGCUCACUGGCUCGAUACUGACGCUGAGGUGCGAAAGUGUGGGGAGCAAACAGGAUUAGAUACCCUGGUAGUCCACACCGU